CCGAAAGCGGGUUCGUUCAAUCCCCCCCGCUCUAUAAAUUGUCUGUGAAGCCGCCGGUUUCGGCGGCCUCUGUACCCCGAGAAAGAAUUCGUUAUGCGAAGUUGGGCGAGGGGCGCCUCGCCGAGAGUGUAAAGAGCUCUCGAAUCAAAGCGCACCCCACAUUUCAACCCCAUUUAAACUCUGAAUCUGAACUCAAAGGGGUGCCUGCUGGCUCUUUCUAGAGCCGCGGCUCCCCCCAACCUUUAACGUU
rnacentral:misc_RNA from 1 species